rnacentral:rRNA from 1 species
CGUAGGUGAACCUGCGGAAGGAUCAA